rnacentral:rRNA from 2 species
AGGGUUUGAUCCUGGCUCAGGAUGAACGCUGGCGGCGUGCUUAAUGCAUGCAAGUCGUGCGGAGAGCAGGACUUCGGUCCUGUUCUUAGCGGCGGACUGGUGAGUAACACGUAACUAACCUGCCCUCAGGUGAGGGAUAACUCGCCGAAAGGUGAGCUAAUACCUCAUAAUGUGUUGGGACAACGCCCAAGCACCAAAGCCUUCGGGUGCCUGUGGAGGGGGUUGCGGCCUAUCAGGUAGUUGGUGAGGUAACGGCUCACCAAGCCAUCGACGGGUAGCUGGUCUGAGAGGAUGAUCAGCCACACUGGGACUGAGAUACGGCCCAGACUCCUACGGGAGGCAGCAGCAAGGAAUUUUGCGCAAUGCCCGAAAGGGUGACGCAGCAACGCCGCGUGGGUGAUGAAGGCCCUCGGGUCGUAAAGCCCUUUUCUUGGGGAAGAAGAUCUGACGGUACCCAAGGAACAAGCCUCGGCUAAUCACGUGCCAGCAGCCGCGGUGAUACGUGAGAGGUCAGUGUUAUCCGGAUUUAUUGGGCGUAAAGGGCGCGUAGGCGGCCCAGCAAGUCUUCUGUAAAAUCUCCCGGCUCAACUGGGAGGGUGCAGAGGAUACUACUGGGCUUGAGGACAGCAGGGGGAGGAGGAAUUCCCGGUGGAGCGGUGAAAUGCGUAGAUAUCGGGAAGAACACCAAUGGCGAAGGCGACCUCCUGGGCUGUUCCUGACGCUGAGGCGCGAAAGCGUGGGGAGCAAACAGGAUUAGAUACCCUGGUAGUCCACGCUGCAACCGAUGGACACUAGGUAUGGGGAGUAUCGACCCUCUCCGUGCCGCAGUUAACGCGAUAAGUGUCCCGCCUGGGGAUUACGGCCGCAAGGCUAAAAUUCAAAGGAAUUGACGGGGGCUCGCACAAGCAGCGGAGCGUGUGGUUUAAUUCGAUGAUACGCGAAGAACCUUACCAGGGCUUGACAUACUGGUAGUAGGAACCCGAAAGGGGGACGAUCCGUCUUUGGCGGAAGCCAGCACAGGUGCUGCAUGGCUGUCGUCAGCUCGUGUCGUGAGAUGUUGGGUUAAGUCCCACAACGAGCGCAACCCUUGCCCUGUGUUGCUCUCUCACAGGGGACUGCCCCGCAAAACGGGGAGGAAGGUGGGGAUAACGUCAAGUCAGCAUGGCCCUUAAACCCUGGGCAACACACACGCUACAAUGGUCGGUACAAAGGGAUGCGAAAGAGCGAUCUGGAGCUAAUCUCAUAAAACCGAUCCCAGUUCGGAUUGGAGGCUGAAAUUCGCCUCCAUGAAGCUGGAGCUGCUAGUAACCGCUGAUCAGCUAAGCAGCGGUGAAUACGUUCUCGGGCCUUGUACACACCGCCCGUCACGCCAUGGAAGCUGGUAACGCCCGAAGUCGAUGUGCCAACUCGCUUUGCGGGAGGCAGUCGCCGAGGGUGGGAUCAGUGACUGGGGCGAAGUCGUAACAAGGUAGCCG